UACGAAGGGGGCUAGCGUUGCUCGGAAUCACUGGGCGUAAAGCGCACGUAGGCGGCUUACUAAGUCAGGGGUGAAAUCCUGGAGCUCAACUCCAGAACUGCCUUUGAUACUGGUGAGCUUGAGUCCGGAAGAGGUGAGUGGAACUGCGAGUGUAGAGGUGAAAUUCGUAGAUAUUCGCAAGAACACCAGUGGCGAAGGCGGCUCACUGGUCCGGUACUGACGCUGAGGUGCGAAAGCGUGGGAGCAAACAGG
rnacentral:rRNA from 1 species